CGGGUCACGUCGUACAGUAGGUAGUUUCGUAUCCGUACGGCGUACAGGACGAACGCUGGCGGCGUGCUUAACACAUGCAAGUCGAACGCUGAAGCCUAGCUUUUGUUGGGUGGAUGAGUGGCGAACGGGUGAGUAACACGUGAGUAACCUGCCCCUUCUUUGGGAUAACGCCCGGAAACGGGUGCUAAUACUGGAUAUUCACUGAUCUUCGCGAUGGGGGUUGGUGGAAAGGUUUUUUCGUGGUGGGGGAUGGGCUCGCGGCCUAUCAGCUUGUUGGUGGGGUGAUGGCCUACCAAGGCUUUGACGGGUAGCCGGCCUGAGAGGGUGACCGGUCACAUUGGGACUGAGAUACGGCCCAGACUCCUACGGGAGGCAGCAGUGGGGAAUAUUGCACAAUGGGCGAAAGCCUGAUGCAGCGACGCCGCGUGAGGGAUGGAGGCCUUCGGGUUGUAAACCUCUUUCGCUCAUGGUCAAGCCGCAACAUUGGUCGUGGUGAGGGUAGUGGGUAAAGAAGCGCCGGCUAACUACGUG
rnacentral:rRNA from 1 species